rnacentral:misc_RNA from 1 species
GUAGGUGAACCUGCGGAAGGAUCAUUGCAAAAACCUUUACAGGUGGCGCAAGCCGCCUGUGAAUAACACAAGGUCGUCUGGGGGUGAUAUAUUAUCUCCAGAUAACACAAGCGCGUAUUCGUGUGGCAGUCUGAAUAUUCAAUAAUGACAAAACUUUUAACAAUGGAUCUCUUGGCUCUUGCAUCGAUGAAGAACGCAGCAUCUGACUGACUGGAAGCUUG